rfam:Heterocephalus glaber contig18391, whole genome shotgun sequence.
GCCCGGGGAGCUCAGUCGAUAGAGCAUCAAACUUUUAAUCUGAGAGUCCAGGGUUCGAGUCCCUGUUUGGGCG